rnacentral:rRNA from 1 species
GUAGUCAUAUGCUUGUCUCAAAGAUAAAGCCAUGCAUGUCUAAGUAUAAGCAAUUACAAAGCGAAACUGCGAAUGGCUCAUUAUAUAAGUUAUCGUUUAUUUGAUAGUACCUUACUACAUGGAUAACCGUGGUAAUUCUAGAGCUAAUACAUGCUGAAAAUCCCGACUUCGGAAGGGAUGUAUUUAUUAGAUACAAAACCAAUGCCCUUCGGGGCUCUCUUGGUGAUUCAUGAUAACUUCUCGAAUCGCACGGCCCCGCGCCGGCGAUGGUUCAUUCAAAUUUCUUCCCUAUCAACUUUCGAUGCUACGGUAUUGUCCUAGCAUGGUUGCAACGGGUGACGGAGGGUUAGGGCUCGACCCCGGAGAAGGAGCCUGAGAAACGGCUACUACAUCCAAGGAAGGCAGCAGGCGCGCAAAUUACCCAAUCCCGAUACGGGGAGGUAGUGACGAUAAAUACCGAUACAGGGCUCUUUUGGGUCCUGUAAUUGGAAUGAGUACAAUUCAAAUCCCUUAACGAGGAACAAUUGGAGGGCAAGUCUGGUGCCAGCAGCCGCGGUAAUUCCAGCUCCAAUAGCGUAUAUUAAAGUUGUUGUGGUUAAAAAGCUCGUAGUAGAAGCUCGGGCUCCGGCCGACCGGUCCGCCUCACCGCGUGCACUGGUUCGGCCGGGCCUUCACCUUCUGCGGAACCGCAUCCCCUUCACUGGGGGUGUCGGGGAAACAGGACGUUUACUGUGAAAAAAUUAGAGUGCUCCAGGCAGGCCUAUGCUCGAAUAGAUUAGCAUGGAAUAAUGGAAUAGGACGUGUGGUCUUAUUUCGUUGGUUUCUAGGACCGCCGUAAUGAUUAAUAGGGACAGUCGGGGGCAUCAGUAUUCAAUCGUCAGAGGUGAAAUUCUUGGAUCGAUUGAAGACUAACUACUGCGAAAGCAUUUGCCAAGGAUGUUUUCGUUUAUCAGGAACGAAAGUUAGGGGAUCGAAGACGAUCAGAUACCGUCGUAGUCUUAACCAUAAACUAUGCCGACUAGGGAUCGGACGGUGUUAUUUCUUGACCCGUUCGGCACCUUACGAGAAAUCAAAGUGCUUGGGCUCCAGGGGGAGUAUGGUCGCAAGGCUGAAACUUAAAGGAAUUGACGGAAGA